UUUAAUUAAUGUAAGGAGAUGAUAAGCUCUAUAAAUUAUAAAGUGAUAAACCAUUUGUUACAUUAAAAGAGAAAUAUGGCUAAAAUUGUCAAAUUGGUUUAUAUAAAUAUUAUUAUAUUUGUUUACUUAUUUCUUCUUGCCGCAAGCAUUUACGUAAAUAUUCGAUGUGAUAUUGAUUCUGAUUGUCCACCAAAUAUGUGUGAAUAUCCCAAAAGACCGAAGUGUGUAGCCCGCCGUUGUACAUGUAUGUAAGGAUAUGGAUAAACCAUACAUUUUGUGGAAUUCACUUGUGCACCAUCAAUGAAACAACCUCUUCACCUUUUCAUUUUAGUCAAAGCCGCAUUAUGUAAUUUAGUGUGGGACUCAAGAAAGUACACAAUAUUUCAUGAGACGUCAUUUAGUUCUUGUGUUAGUCUCCAACAACAAUAUAAAUAUUUUAUAUUUCUUUGUUGAUGAGAAAUAUUUUAUAUUUUUAAUAUAAAGAAACCUUGCAGUUAGUUUAUUAUAUACCUUAAGAUAAAUUGUAAUAAUGAAAUAAAAUAAGACAGCAAACAAUGUUAUGUA